rnacentral:lncRNA from 10 species
GGCGCCGCUGCGGGUGCGAGCGCUCGAGGUGAAGGCGCGCGGCGGGGCGGCCACCCACUGGUUGGAGGGUCGCAGCGUGGGCGUCAACGCCGUAUCCAGCGACUACGCGGCCGCGGAGACCUACCUGCGGCGUCGGCAGCUGCUGCUCCGAGGUGAGACACUCGUCGCGCCGCCCCCGCAGCAGCCGGGACCCCCUCGGCCGCGACCCUCUUCAGGGCCGGAAGCCUCUCAACUUAGAACCUAUGCGGUCGGGUGAUCCUUUUCAAGGAGGGGGAAACCCCCUUCCCGGGGUCCUGACCCUCCCACAGGUCAGGAGUUCAAGACUAGCCUGGGCGACAUGGUGAAACCCCAUGUCUCCAAAAACUACAAAAAUUAGCCAGGCUUAGUGGCGCGCGCCUGGAGUCCCAGCUACAGGCUGAAGUGGGAAGAUCGCUUGAGCCUGGGAGGUAGAGGUUGUAAUGGGCUGAGAUCGCACCACUGCACUCCAGCCUGGACACCCACCCCGCCCUGGUCAGGACCCCCACUAACCGGGAACGUCUACCCAGGGUCUGGGUGUUCCCUUCUCUGGAGCCAGACUCCCUCAACUUAGACUGUGCGGUGGGGAGACCCCUUUCAAAGCAGGGGGACCCUCCUAUUAGAGUCCAGGAAACCCGCGGGAAGUAGAGUGGGAGAUCUCCCUGGUGGACCCCAGUGUCCCCGUUGAUCCCAGGCCUGGAGUCCCUGAUUCUCAGAGAAGGCCCCCAACUCGUGUUACCCAGGGCCCCACCUCAGUUUACCCCACAGGGUCUGCAGCGCUGAGUUCUUCCCUGGGGUAGGGUUGGGGGUCUGGUGGUAUUUCCCGGUGAGGAGGUGGAAAUGCAUCCCAGAGGGGAAGAGAUGAAGUGGGGUCACAUUCUCCUGGGAGUCUGGGUCUUGGGCAGGUCCCUACUCUUCCCCGAACCUCAGUCCUUCUCGCACCCCAAGCGCCCCUAGGCCACGCAGCUGGUCACCAGCGAGCCAGGGGUCACAGAAGGAGGCAGUCCAUACCCUCACACCCUACUGUGUGGCUGCGGGAGGGCAUCAUCCUCUCUGGGCCGCCCUGGCUAUUCCUCCGGGCCAAGCCAGACCUCACUAUACCCGUCUGUAAAAUGGGCCGGGAGGGAGGCAGCUCAGAUUCUCGACAGCCCCACUUUUUUCCCAGCGCUGCGGGCAAUAGAAGUUUUGGGCACACAAGAGCCACAGGUGCGGGGGACCCUUCCCUCCCCAGCGGUGGAAACAGAAGCAAGUGCGGUGGGGCAGGGCAGGAAGGGGCCCAGGAGGCACUUCCCUUCCCCGGCGACUCGGAGAACUCUUGGGACCGCUUUCACCCGAAGGCCGGCCCAGACACUCAACGGCGACUUCCUUAAAACACUGGAGAGGCAGCCGGGUGCGGUGGCUCACGCCUGUAAUCCCAGCACUUUGGGAGGCUGAGGCGGGCAGAUCACCUGAGGUCAGGAGUUCGAGACCAGCCUGGCCAACAUGGUGAAACUUUGUCUCCACUAAAAAUACAAAAAUUAGCUGGGCGUGCUGGUGGGCGCCUGAAAUCCCAGCAACUCGGGAGGCUGAGGCAGAAUUGCUUGAACCCGGCAGGCGGAGAUUGCAGUGAGCUGAGAUGGCACCACUACACUCCAGCCUGGGCAACAGAGCGAAACUCCGUCUCAAAAACAAAAACAAAAACAAAUAAACAAAAAACACUGGAGAGGCGAGCCUGGUGGGUCCACCUGUGGUCCCAGCUAUCACAGAGGCUGAAGCGGAAGGAUUGCUUGAGCUAAGUUAGAGGCCAGCCUGGGCAACAUAAUGAGACCUCCCACCCUCCACUCCGUUUUUGUGUUUGUUUUUGUUUUUGAGACAGGGUCUUACUCUGUUACUCAGGCUGGAGUGCAGUGGCACGAUCUCGGCUCACUGCAACCUCUGCCUCCCAUGUUCAAGUGAUUCUGCAACCUCAGACUCCUGAGUAGCUGGGACUACAGGUGCCCGCCACCACACCCGGCUAACUUUUUGUUUUGUUUUGUUUUGUUUUGUUUUGUUUUUCUGAGACAGAGUCUCACUCUGUCACCCAGGCUGGAGUGCAGUGGCGCCGGCGCAAUCUUGGCUCACUGCAACCUCUGCCUCCCAGGUUCCAGUGAUUCUCCUGCCUCAGCCUCCCGAGUAGCUGGGAUUAUAGGUGCCCGCCAACACGCUGGCUAAUUUUUGUUUGUUUGUUUGUUUGUUUGUUUGGGGGACGGAGUCUCCCUCUGCUGCCCAGGCUGGAGUGCAGUGGCACCAUCUCGGCUCACUGCAAGCUCUGCCUCCCGGGUUCACGCCAUUCUCCUGCCUCAGCCUCCCGAGCAGCUGGGACUACAGCCACCGCGCCCGGCCAAGGUGGGCUAAUUUUUAAAUUCUCCCAGCUACUCAGGGGGCUAAGGCAGGAGAAUCGCUGGAACCCGGAAGGUGGAGGUUGCAGUGAGCCAAGAUGGUGCCACUGCACUACAGCCUGGGUGUCAGAGCAGAGUGAGACCCUGUCUCAAAAAAAAAAAAAAUUAAAAUUUUGGCUGGG